rnacentral:rRNA from 1 species
AACGAACGCUGGCGGCAGGCCUAACACAUGCAAGUCGAGCGAGGACUUCGGUUCUAGCGGCGGACGGGUGAGUAACGCGUGGGAAUGUGCCCUUCUCUACGGAAUAGCCCUGGGAAACUGGGAGUAAUACCGUAUACGCCCUAUUGGGGAAAGAUUUAUCGGAGAAGGAUCAGCCCGCGUUGGAUUAGGUAGUUGGUGGGGUAAUGGCCUACCAAGCCGACGAUCCAUAGCUGGUUUGAGAGGAUGAUCAGCCACACUGGGACUGAGACACGGCCCAGACUCCUACGGGAGGCAGCAGUGGGGAAUCUUAGACAAUGGGGGCAACCCUGAUCUAGCCAUGCCGCGUGAGUGAUGAAGGCCUUAGGGUUGUAAAGCUCUUUCGGCUGGGAAGAUAAUGACGGUACCAGCAGAAGAAGCCCCGGCUAACUCCGU